CCCUCGCAGUCAGUCGCUCGGCCGCUCGCGCCGCGAACGCACGUAUCGCACGUCCGAGAAUUACGACCGCACGUAGUCUCGACGAACAUAAAAUUAAAAAAUCUGUUACUGGUUUCUGUGCCAAGUCCCUGGGGGAACGUCAACUUUUACUAACUGGAUCCCGUUCUGGUUUUUUAUUGUUUAUCGUUAACAAGUGCAAAAUGUGAUGUUAUGUGUGAUCAUUGAGCGUACCGUCCUGUGUAACGUUGAAGUGAACUCAAUGGAUGUAAUGUGCUUUUGAAUUUGGAGUCUUACUUAGUCCUUCGCACCGGAUUUCUAUUCAAAAGAUACGGAAUGACAGUCGCGCUACAGAGACUUUCAUGAUCUCUACAGCAUCCGAGGUUGAGAAGUGACGGAGACUGAACCCUCAGCUAUGCAAAGGUCGUAACUUCGGCAGUAAUUUCAACAUGUCCUCGGCAAUAAUCUCUUCGCGUAGCUACAGAAUAUCAUCGAAUUCAACACCCACAUCUUUUCUAAAGAUGACGUCACUACGGUUCGCCCGCAGUGUUGCCAGCUUCCUCACUUCUAGCACAUUUAUGGUAUGUAUAUU